rnacentral:rRNA from 1 species
GCAAGUCGAGCGAACGGACGAGAAGCUUGCUUCUCUGAUGUUAGCGGCGGACGGGUGAGUAACACGUGGAUAACCUACCUAUAAGACUGGGAUAACUUCGGGAAACCGGAGCUAAUACCGGAUAAUAUUUUGAACCGCAUGGUUCAAAAGUGAAAGACGGUCUUGCUGUCACUUAUAGAUGGAUCCGCGCUGCAUUAGCUAGUUGGUAAGGUAACGGCUUACCAAGGCAACGAUGCAUAGCCGACCUGAGAGGGUGAUCGGCCACACUGGAACUGAGACACGGUCCAGACUCCUACGGGAGGCAGCAGUAGGGAAUCUUCCGCAAUGGGCGAAAGCCUGACGGAGCAACGCCGCGUGAGUGAUGAAGGUCUUCGGAUCGUAAAACUCUGUUAUUAGGGAAGAACAUAUGUGUAAGUAACUGUGCACAUCUUGACGGUACCUAAUCAGAAAGCCACGGCUAACUACGUGCCAGCAGCCGCGGUAAUACGUAGGUGGCAAGCGUUAUCCGGAAUUAUUGGGCGUAAAGCGCGCGUAGGCGGUUUUUUAAGUCUGAUGUGAAAGCCCACGGCUCAACCGUGGAGGGU